GAAUAGAAAGAAUUAUUUUUUUUUUUAUUAAUUAUUUAUUAAUAAAAAUAUUUUUUUUAUUUAUUAUAUGUAAGAAAAAUAAGAAUUUAUUAUAGUAAAUUUGUAUUGUGAAAGAUAUUUUUAUAUAAUUAAAAUAAAAAUUAAAAUUUUGUACCUUGUGUAUCAGGGUUUAUUAAAAAUAGUUUAAUUAUUUAAUAAUCUCGAAUUUAAAUGGGUUAAUUUAUUAUAAAUUUUAAUGUAAAAUAAUUAUUUAUAAUAAUAAAUUAGUAAUGAAAUGUUAUUCGUAUUUAAAUAUAUCUAGUUUUUAAAGAAAAAAAUUUAAUUUUGUUUAAUAUAUUAAUUUUAUUAUUUUUUUAAUAAAAUUUUAUUUUAAAAAAAUUUUAAAAGGGAUAAGCUUUUUAAAAUAUUUAUAUAAUUAAUAAAAUUAAAAAUAAUAUAUAAAAUUAAAAUUAUUUAAAUUUAAUAAAAUGUUAUAAUAAAAUUAUUUAUUAUAUUUAUUUUUUAUAUAUAAUUUAUAUUAAAUAUUUAAAAAAUUUUAAAAAUUAAAAUUAAAAUGAUAUAAUGAUAAAAUUAGUAAAAUUAAAAUUAAUUAAUAUAGUUAAAUAUAAUUAAAUUUAAGGAAUUCGGCAAAAUUAUUGUUCACCUGUUUAUUAAAAACAUGGCCUUUUGAUGAUAAUUUAAGGUCUGAUCUGCCCACUGAAAUUUUUAAAUGGCCGCAGUAUUUUGACUGUGCUAAGGUAGCAUAAUAAAUAGUUUUUUAAUUGAAAGCUGGUAUGAAUGAUUGGAUGAGAUAUAAGCUGUCUUAGAUUUAUAUAAAUUGAAUUUUAUUUUUAAGUUAAAAAGCUUAAAUAAAGUUAAAAGACGAGAAGACCCUAUAGAGUUUAAUAAAAGUUUUUAUUAUAAUUUUUUAUAUAUUAUAUAUUUUAAUAAAAAUUUUUA
rnacentral:rRNA from 1 species